UGGGUACAAACGCUUUUCCGAGUCAAGCUCGGCGUUGCGUUGGAACUCGAUGUAGCCGAUCACUAACACCUCGAUCCAUAUCAAUGUCGAGAUCGAGAACGGUAAUGGCUGCCCCAAGUAGGACGAUCCGUCUACAAGCUCCACCUGAAGUUAUAUAUAAGUUUGAUUAGCAAACGCUAACUCAAUCGCAAAAAUUAUCUAUUUUUAUUAGUGGUCUCGUUCGUACCCUAAGUCACAAACAAACGCUACCGCAAACGCAAGUAUUGGAUUAACUCGUUCAACGCAAAUCUAAAUUACGUAGUAGUACCAUUUGACUAACCGUAUCCUCGAAGAAGAAAAAAAGCGGUGGAGGAAGAAGUCUUUACCUUUCCGGCGUCUUGCCAAGUGACGCCGGUGAGCCAUUCGACGGAUAGAGCGCCGAGAGUAGCGAGCAUCGCCCACCGUCCGUGAAUAAGCUCGCAUUCCCUGAAUCUCUGGAUUCCGAACACCUCACUGUACGGCUGAAACGGCGUCGAUUUGGGGGCCGCCUCUUCCGUGCGGGUCCCGAUCACGUCUCCGGCUAAGUUCUUAGCCAGGUUCUGGUCUAGUGAAUCUAUAUCGAAUUGGAGAUACUCGGCCGGUUUACCUAAACCAAACGGAUCAAACCCGUAAUCUCCAACCAACGAACCGUCGAGCCAGUCAGGAGAUUUGGCGCCUGGGAACCAGAGAGGCCGGUCCGAAGUCACCUUCUUGGGCGCGGUCUUUUUGGGAGCUUUCUUUCCGAACCCAAACCGGGCUGUAAACCGACCAGAACCGGAAUGGAUACCGGGAGCCACCCGAGUACCCAUGAUGGAAGAAGCAGCGGCAGCGGUUGAAGUUGCGGCCAUCUCGGGCG
rnacentral:lncRNA from 1 species